AGAGUUGAUCUGGCUCAGGAUGAACGCUAGCGGCAGGCUUAACACAUGCAAGUCGAGGGGCAGCAUAGAAGUAGCAAUACUUGGUGGCGACCGGCGCACGGGUGAGUAACGCGUAUGCAACCUACCUAUCAGAGGGGAAUAACCCGGCGAAAGUCGGACUAAUACCGCAUAAAACAGGGGCACCGCAUGGUGAUAUUUGUUAAAGAAAUUCGCUGAUAGAUGGGCAUGCGUUCCAUUAGGUAGUUGGUGAGGUAACGGCUCACCAAGCCGACGAUGGAUAGGGGAACUGAGAGGUUGGUCCCCCACACUGGUACUGAGACACGGACCAGGCUCCUACGGGAGGCAGCAGUGAGGAAUAUUGGUCAAUGGGCGGGAGCCUGAACCAGCCAAGUCGCGUGAAGGAAAAGAAGGAUCUAUGGUUCGUAAACUUCUUUUGCAGGGGAAUAAAGUGCAGGACGUGUCCUGUUUUGUAUGUACCCUGAGAAUAAGGAUCGGCUAACUCCGUGCCAGCAGCUGC
rnacentral:rRNA from 1 species